rnacentral:rRNA from 1 species
UGAGGAAUUUUGCGCAAUGGAGGAAACUCUGACGCAGCGACGCCUCGUGAACGAUGAAGUCUUUCGGGAUGUAAAGUUCUGUCAGUGGGGAAGAUAAUGACGGUACCCACAGAGGAAGCACCGGCUAACUACGUGCCAGCAGCCGCGGUAAUACGUAGGGUGCAAGCGUUAUCCGGAAUUAUUGGGCGUAAAGGGAGCGUAGGCGGUUGAAUAAGUAAGGUGUGAAAGCUAUGGGCUCAACCCAUAGUUGCGCCUUAAACUGUUCGGCUAGAGGAUGUAAGAGGAAAGCGGAACUCAUGGUGUAGCGGUGAAAUGCGUAGAUAUCAUGAGGAACACCAGUAGCGAAGGCGGCUUUCUGGGACAUUCCUGACGCUGAGGCUCGAAAGCGUGGGUAGCAAACAGG